UUUUUUUUUCUCUUGUUAACUAACAAUACAACAUUGAGAAUGGACAAUUUAAACCUCUAAUUUGUUGAUCUGGGACAUCUUAGGUCGAUGGCAUUCGUCGUCAGUCGGGUUGGCCUCAAGAGUGUGAUCUACACUUAUUUUUUGAGCUUAUUUCUGUACGAAUGACCAAAUAUUUGAAUUGUUAAUGCAGAAUGUCUCAGUUUUAGAAGGUUAAUUUUCAUAUUAUAGGAUUGAAUAUUCCGCAGUCAUUUUAGAAUCGGAUCAUUUUUACAAAAAUCUCUUUUUAUUACGGGGUGGAAGCCGGAGCGGAAACGUUUACACAAAAGGCGCUGUGUUCUCAGUGUUCGUGUGUUGUAAGCGAUCAGUUAGAAGUGAGUUUGACCUAUAAAUUAGCUCCCGAAGAUCAAUAACUAAAAAGGGUAGCUUCAGUUUCCAUUUUCCAAAUUGCAGGGAGCAGAAAGAUGCAAUCUUGUUCAUAAUCUGAAGCUAAGUUGUUAGAAUAAGCAGCCAACAAUGCGGACUCUAGUUCAGAAACUACUGCCCAGAACAACGUUCAAGCAGGUGCGUUUUUGUGCAUCUAUAUAUUUUUUUUCUUUACCCCAUUUGCAAUGAGUUAUCUAUUGUUGCUUUGUAAGAAACUAGUUUGUUAUGUUGAUUGUUUUCAAAAUUAUCCAUUUUUUUUAUUGAGUUGAAGUGUUUGUGAUUCUUGAAUUGAGCAGACGUGCUUCUUCUUUCCAGCAAGAGAUUUCUUUUCAAUAUGAUUGUAAAAAUUCUUUCAGAUAACAGUGUUGGUUGGAAUUGAAAUCUUUUAGUUGCAGAAUUUGUUGCAAAUAUUUAGGCCGAACUCUCUCCCCAAUCAAAGAUUGUGGAAUUUGGAGAGUUUCGAUGAUUAUUCUUGUGGGGUCCUUUUGAAGAAGCUGUCAAGGACAUCUCAAGAGCCUCCUCCAGGCUCAACAAUCGGUUGUUCAAGUGGAAGGAAAGCUUCAAAGAGGAUCAAAUCCUUCCUUCUGUUGGACUUUAAGAGCUGCUCUUUUUUUGGUCAAAAUCUUAUAGAAAAGCCUGAAAUUGUUGUUUGAUGUGGUCCAAAGUCUUUUGGGAGAUUUGGUGGAAUGAAUUCUUAGAAUUUAGAAAGAUAAGUUAAGAGAAGAUGGUGUAUUUUAUUUAGAUUAGUUUUAUGAUUCUAGCGAAUUGGAGUUCUUUUCCUGAUCUCCUUGGCUCUUGGGGAAUCUUCUUCUUCUUUUUUUAUUAUUGUUUAUUUUUGUAUGUGUUAUGUUUUUAAGCUUUUUGUGAUAAAAAUGCCUCCCCAUUUGAAUACGAUCCCUUUACAAGUCUUGAAAAAAAGCACAACGUGUUGAUGUUGUUGUAUUUUGGUUUGCAGGUUGUUGCUUUCCGGGGAUAUUGUACUGAUAAGAUACUUGACAUUGGACAGCCUACAGCUGCUUCUCAUCCAGAGGUCUGAUUUGACAUGAAGUACAGAGGCUAUGCACUAGGCAUGCCUCCAUUAUGGUUUUGCUUAAUAAUUAAAUGGUAUUAUUGUUUGGUAAAGUUCUAGAAAUAUAUUCAUUUAGUUGCUGAACCUUGUAGUUGAUGAAAGAAGGGGAAAUUACCCCAGGAAUAACUGCUGAUGAAUACAUUACGAGAAGAAAAAGGUUGCUGGAGCUUCUACCAGAGAAUAGUUUGGCCGUUAUUGCAGCUGCGCCAGUGAAAAUGAUGACCGAUGUGGUGCCUUACACAUUUCGACAAGAUGCUGAUUACUUAUAUGUCACUGGAUGUCUACAACCCGGUGGUUUGGCAGUUCUGAGUCAUGACUUUGGAUUGUGCAUGUUCAUGCCUGAAACAAAGCCUUAUGUAUGUCUAUUCUUAUUCAUUUAAUAAUUCUUUACUCUUUUCCCUAACAAUUUAGGUUCUUUGGUAGUAAUUACUUCUGAAGUGGUUGGAUAUAAAAUUAAGGAACACAGUUAAGUUUAUAAACAAAUUUUAUUUCUUUCAUCUCUCUUUUAGUUUUUGAUGUAACUGCAUUCCUGUGUGCCCUUAUGCACUUCUCUUCAUUUUAAAAAUGUUCACUUUCAGUUUUCACUGUAACACCAUUAUCUUCUUAACCUUAUCAGAUAUCCUUUAAGACCACUUUAUCAACAAAGAGACAACAAAUAUUUAUGAGGAGAAAAGAUGGGAAUGAAAGAUCAAAGAUUACCAAACCAAAUAACCUCUUGAACUUAGUUUUUGCUCCAUUAUGUAAAACAAACUUGACAGAUGGUAGGAACAAACUGAGACCUUUAAGAAAUGUACUUCCAUGGACUUUGAUUAUGAACUCUUUGAACCAAGAUGAAAACCAUCCAUUUUGAAGGAGAUAAGACAGCUUUCUCUCAAAACCUAAGCAAGGUGAUUACAGAAAAGACCCCCAGUCAAGGCUAUCUUAGAAGUGAAGAAAUCACAUAAAUCAUUAAGCAUUUGUAUCUAAGAGGAAGCAAUGUACUGUACAAUAUCUCAACAAAAACCACAAACUCUACACAGAGUAUUCUGUUGUUCCGAAGGAGGGAUAACUCAAGGAGCAUUUUUCCAGAUAGUUUUUGACUUUCCCUGUAAGGACCAAUGGAUAUGAUCUCUUGGAGCAAAUUAAUGAUAUCUCUAGGACAAUGCCAUCCAAAUCUAAACUGGCAGAAGCAAGAUCUCUGCUUUCAAUUUUCUUAAAUGAAUUUAGUUAAAAUGUAAGGUGACAUUCAAGGUCUUCUAGCCAUUGUUGCAUUGCUAGCUGAUUUUACUAGGAUGGGACAAGUUGGUUAUUGUGGUGGAGUGAAUAAUAUUUUUAACAUUUCUGUGGGUUGGUCUGAAGAUUUUUCAUCUUGAGUUUUUUGCUGUGAUGGUUAACUAAGGAAUGAUGCAUCAGGGUUUGUCUAUUGUUUUCUUGUUCAUUUUUUCUGUAAGGUAAGUAAGAUCUGAGUAUGAUCAAGAGGUCAGCAGUUGUGUGGCCAUGCAAUUUAAUCAUAUUUUAUCAGGAUGUUCUUUGGAACGGGAAAAUUGCUGGAGUCGAUGAAGCAUUGGAAUUUUUCAAGGCUGAUGAAGCAUAUCCAUUGAGAAAGUUGCGUGAGGUGAGUAAAUUCUAGGAAAUAUGAUAGAGCCAAUACUGAGAUCUGUUUGUUUUGUCAUGGCUGAUUUACAUCACUCAUGAAUUUACUUUUAAGAUUCUGUGGAACUGAAUGAGGCAUUUUCGCUGUCCAUGAAGUUCUCUUUACAAGUAUUUUUCUUUUCACCCUCUGUAUUGGACCACAGAUACUUCCGGAUAUUAUUAGGAGGUCCUCAAAGUUGUUUCAUAAUUCAAGUACUGCCAGUCCAGCUUAUGUGGAUUUAGAGGCCUUCCGAAAAGCGGCAGAGAAUGGCCAAGUGAAAGAUAUUUCACUUUUUACUCAUGAAUUGCGGUUAAUAAAAUCAACAGCAGAGAUGAAGUUAAUGAAGGAAUCUGCUUCAAUUGCUUGUCAGGUACCUACAAGAUUUUUGUUGAUUUAUCCUGUUGGCUUCAUGAUCUUGUAUUGAAUGUCUCCUUUUGAACUCAGUUAUUUGUUAAGAAUUAAUUAAUUAAUGGUUGGAAGGCUGUUACUCAAUAGUUUUGUUGGAAGAGGGGCUUUCUCAUCCCUCUGCAGCAAGGCUGUCCGUUUUUGUCUUAUACAAUUCUUGUCUUUUAUCUAAUUACUCAGUAGCUCAGUCAUAGACUUCUAGUUUGAUAUAUUUAUUUUACAACUUAGCUAGAGCACAAUGGUAAAAAUGGACAAUUUGUUUUUCAGAAUUGACCUGUCAACUUGAUUUUAAAUCCUCUUUUGUACCAUGUAAGUCUUCAGUCAGUUCGUCUUGGGAAAAUGGACUUUCCUCAGACUCCAAAGUUAUUCAUAAAUAGGAGUUUAUUUUAUUUUAUUUUUAUAAUAAUUGUUAUUUUUUAUGAGACAUUAAUCACUGACUUGAAUCAUCACGAGAAAUCCCGCCUUCAAAUUGAGGGAGGAUAAAAUAUCACGAGAGUGCAAUAUUUUUUCUUCAAAGCACAACUAUUUCUUCCACAUGUUGUCAAUUUUUUCUAAGUUUACUUUUACAAAAAUGAUGCUUCCUAUGUUUGUUUUUGUUGGUUUUAGGCUCUUUUGCAGACAAUGAUGCAUUCAAAGACAUAUCCUCAUGAGAGUCUGUUAUCCGCAAAGGUAGAAUAUGAGUGCAGAAUGAGAGGUGCCCAACGGAUGGCGUGAGUGCUCUUCAUAACUGGAUUUAAAGAAGCACCCCUAUCUAGAUGUUUUCAUUUUAUUCUUAACUGUAUGCUGAAUUGUGCAAAGUCUAAUUUUAUAUUUUAAUAGGAGACUUUAAAUUAUGCAAGAUUUUACAGUUGAUUCUCAACUUACCUUCUCUGUCACAGAUAUAAUCCUGUGGUGGGUGGUGGCUGUAAUGGUAGUGUUAUACAUUAUUCUCGAAAUGAUCGGAAAGUAAGUGAAUUCAUCAAUUAGUACUUAGGCUUUACUAUUGUGAAAGAUUGAAAGAGUAUGUUCAUUCAUAGGUGGUAUGCACAUGAUAAAUGAUUGCAGGUCAAAGAAGGGGAUCUUGUUCUAAUGGAUAUUGGGUGCGAAUUGCAUGGUUAUGUUAGCGAUCUUACUCGUACCUGGCCCCCUUGUGGAAAGUUUUCUGCUGCUCAGGUGUUUUACCUUUUUCCCCAAGUCUAUUUAUCUAUUUCAAACAAUGUGAGGAUUUUCAGCAAACUUCUUGUUUCGCCGAGUUCUAACGUCAAUCUUUUCCAUGCAUGCCUUUGUGAACACGAAAGCUUUAGUUGGAGUGACAGUCGUUGUUACUACUCUUUAAGCUGACCUCAGUUCUUUUGAAUGUCUGAUCUUGUUGUUUUUGGAUUUAGAUCUUACCCUCUUUUGUGCCUCAACUUACUUGGUUAAAUGUAUCUCAGGAAGAGCUUUAUGAGCUUAUACUAUUAACAAACAAGGAAUGCAUAAAGCUUUGCAAACCUGGUGCUAGUAUACAGCACAUUCACGAAUGUGCGGUAAGUUUUGUGUACUUAUUCAUUCGAAGUCUAAUUGAUAUAUAGACAAUAGCAACAAAUCUGGUGCAGAAAGACCUCAUGAGGAAGUUAACAUAGUUUCUCUAUGGUUUAGUCUUUCUAAAGUUUUCCUUGCAAUAUGUUCGAUUUUUUCCAUUUUGGUCAGUUCUUCACUUGAUUAAGCAUCUCACUUUUUCAUAUAUUAACAAUGCCAUAUAAUCAUUGAACAAUUUCAUGGCCCUUCUCAUAUUUUUCAUGUUUGCAGACGAAAAUGCUUCGAGAAGGCUUCAAAGAGCUUGGCAUUUUGAAAAACUUGAAAAGUGAUGUUUUCCACCAUCUAAAUCCCACUUCUAUAGGUGAUUUUACCUCCUUGGGGAAAAAAUAACCCCUUUUCUUUUCAAUUGAAAGAAGCAUGCCACAUUUAAUUUUUUUUUUUGUGGUACAUGUUUCUUUUCAUCAACGUGUUAGUUUCCAGUUUCAGACACUUUCCUACUUUGUCCCCAUCAAUGACAUGAUAUCCAUUCUAAUUUGGCUACUUGAUCAACUUUCUUUUCCCUUUCGGGUUUCUUUGCUCAGGCCAUUACCUUGGAAUGGAUGUCCAUGAUUGCCCUAGGGUUGGUUAUGAUCGGCCGUUGAAGCCAGGUGUUGUAAGUUUCGUUCCUAUUCAUAUAUUUGGACAUGGACCCUUCUUUCUGUGUGCACAUGUUCGUCCCAUUUAGAGAUGUCUUUUCUUAAAAGGAAAAAUCGUUAAAUCAACCAUGUAUUGAUAUUUAGUUUUAGUAGUGUUGCAUUCAUUUGGAAUUCAAUUUCUAAGAGAUUCUUUGUUGUUUGCAGGUAAUAACAAUUGAACCGGGAGUUUACAUCCCAUCCAUUUUUCAAGGUCCACAGAGGUAAAAAUAAAAGCUUAUCAAGUAACAAAAAAUGAGCUAGUCCUUCAACAUAGUUUAUUAUUGUCGUUUUGUUUCCGGUGGAUAGGGAGUUUUCACGAUUAGAUUUGGAAAAGUAAAUUUGAUCACGAAGUUCUGUCUUGUUGCAACUUAUCCUUGUGUUAACAUUUAGAUUCUGCUUUUCAACUCUAUUUUUUUAAUUAUAUAUUUCUAAAAAUAUUUUGCUACAAUGUACUCUGCAGAUUUGCUGGUAUUGGGAUAAGGAUUGAAGAUGAAGUCCUUAUAACCGAAUCGGGUUACGAGGUAUGUAGUUCAAGUCCAAGUUUCUUAUGGAUGGUUCUGAAAGCUUUUGUUUAUUUAUUUUGAGGAGUGGACAAGUCUGGUCUGAUAGUUGAUUAAAGAGAAAUGUGGGGAAAAUUAGUCAUUCUCUAAUGAUGGUAGCGACUGCAAAAUGGGCUGUCGAAAUUCUAUAAACCUGUAACCUUUAGGCCAGAAAGUGAGCUUUAUGUUACAUCAUGUGCUAUACAACUGUCGUCCUCAGAUUGUCAAAGAGUCUUCCAUUUUCAUCAUGAAUUAGUGUGUAGUUUGGAUUUUGGAUUACGCGUUUCGCAGUUUGGUUAUAUCUUACAAUGGCUAGAUCUGAUAAAUCAAUUUGUUCUUCCUAGGAAUGAAUUAAUCAAUCCUACUUUCUUGCAUCAGGUCCUUACAGGCUCAAUCCCAAAAGAAAUAAAUCAGAUAGAGUCAUUGCUGAACAACUUCUGCUUUGGAUCUACAAUGCAUGGCCCAAAAUUUAUGAAAGCUUCAACCUGUUGAUCAUAUGUGGACUCUUUUUAGGCGUGACAUAUUUGAGAAUGGGAGACAAUGAUUUUAUCCAAAGUAUACUUGAGUCAGGAUUGUUCGGGAUGAUAGUUUGGUAUUUUUGAUGUGCAAAUGAGGCAUGCAAGCGCGAUGGUGAGACAAUGGGGAUGUGGAUUUUCUGUCACUAGUCUUAGCUUGAGUAUCGACGUUGAGAUGCGACCAUUGUUAUGAGUUGCACCGGUGGAGGAUUUCAGCUAGUGACAUCAAAAUUGACUAUAUCAUCUGUACUUUCUGUUUCAAAAGAAUUGCAAGGAGAGAACACAUUUUGGUUUCUUAGUAUUAGUUGUGGAGUCCUUGUCCAUUGGCAACUUGUGGUAAUCAUUGCACCGAAACGUCAUCGAAUUUAGUAGUAACUAAGCUCACUUGAUAAAGUGGCCAAAAAGAGGCACCACCACCAUCACCAUCAUCAUCCCCAUGAGGCUGCUAUUUUCACAUCACUUUCAUCUUGCUGUCAUUUCGUAUUCACCAUGGCAUAUGGGUCCGACUCGAUUCAAGCAUCGUUUGGAUCCCUUCAUCACAAUUUCCAUGAGGAAUAUAUUUUCAAUCACUAAUAUAAGUAGCCUUUUUGUACCAUCUAUAUACUUCAAUUCCAUUCAUGAUCAUGGACAGGUAGUUAGGAGGGUAGCAGUUGGUUGGUUUUUAGAUACAAUUCAUUUCAAUUUAAUUUUCCUUAGAUCCAAUGGCCUCAAUUUAAUUUUUGUAAGAAAUAAGCAGUAAUAUUUUGAAAUAAUGUUUGGUAGUUAUGGUGCAGCUUCCUGCUAUUGCUGCUUCCAUUUAUUGUGUUUUUGGUUAUGACUUCAAGGAUGCCAUCUCCUGAAUUUGUUGCCUAAAGAAAGUAUGGCACUCUCUUACUAUUGUUAACUCCUCCUUUGUAGAUUACUUUAAAAAUAUUAUCUUUUAAGUUUUUUAUUAUUCAAAUAAUAACAUUUGGUUUUCAUCAAUUUAUUAUUAAAAUUCAUAAAAAAAUCAAACACAAAACCAUUGAUUAUGAUUAUUGAAGUUAAAAUGCUAUUUGGUCUAAUUGUCCAAUUUUAGUCCAAGUUAAAUCCUAAAUCAAUUUUACAACCAUACAUCUUUGUUUAAUUAUUAUUAUUAUUUUCUUAAUUUGCUAUAUUUGCUCGUGUGUGUGAAUAUAUAAUAAUGGAACUUUAAUUUCCAUGAAAAUUAGAGAAAAUUAAAGGUGAAUAAAAAAAAAAAAAGAUGCAGAAAUUUAAACAUAAAAAAACCAUUAAUUAAUAUUAAUAAUUCAAAAUAACAACCAUAAUACUAAAAAUAAAAACUAUCAAAUUAGUUCCCAUCCUAAACUCUCCCAAAAUAAAUUACUAGAAAAAAAAAAAAAGGAAAACCUAACAAUUACCAUAGAAACGAUAUUGACUAGACAUUUCUGGAUAAGUUCUAAGAGCCGAAACUUUGUUAAUCUUAAAACAUAGGAUUUUGGCCCGAGGUUCUAACAAAAUUUCAUCUCCAUUCGUAUAGUUUAUUUUGUUGACGAAGUCUUGACCCCAACUAAUAACAAAUUGGUUAGCAUUGGAUAGCCUACUCAUGAUUGCUUUAAAAUAUUUGUGCGAAACCAUAUCGUACAUGUCGAUUUCUGCUUCCCCAUACAGUUCUGGAAAAUAGUUAAGAAGAAAACCCGCUUCAGUUAACAUUUCUUCAGCAUCCAAGCUUAGAUGCAAGAAAUUGCUUCCAUUUAGUGUCUCUGUAAUCGACCAGUUAGCCAUUGUUAUUAUUUUUUUCUCAUGUAUAAUACCAACUCUAUUCUCUGCCUAUAUAUACAUUUUAAUAUUUCCUUAAAUAAGGAUAGUAUAAAGAGAAAUGAUUAAGGAAAUAUUUUAUACACUUAUAAAGGGUAAUGUUUACUUAAAUAUAUUUCAUACACAAAUAUAGAACAUAUAUUUAGUUAGAAAAAAUACUUAUAAAAUCUCACAAAAUUAAUGUUGGUUUAUAGAAUCAAACAAGCUUUCCAUAAUAUAAUUAUUUCAAUCGAAAAAUAUAUAUGCCAUGAUAUAAACUACUUAAUUAUAUUAUUACUAAAACUUUGGAUUAGUAGAAUCGAAUAACAAUUAAUUGAACACAUGGCAUUGGCAUAAGCUGAAUGAGAAUAAUAUUUUGGAGAAUAUAAAAUUGAGGAACUUCUCAAUAUUUUAUUUCUUAUGAGAUUUUGCAAAAAUAUUUGCUUCCCCUUUUCUUUAUUAAUUUUUCAAAAGUAGUAAGGAAAAAAGUUGGAAUUUAUUUAAAAGAAAAUCCGAUUGUAAUAAUAUCUCAUAAAAGUGAUCAAUAUGAUUAUUUCAUACGUCCAUAUAAUUUUAAAAAAUAAUGUGAAAUCUACUACUAUUUAUAAACACAAAUAUUUUUAAGUGCUUAUAUAGAAACUAUGAUACUUGUUGUACUUAAUAUUUUUCAAGAAAUUAUUGAAAAAUAUCCAUUUAUUCCUUAAAAUAUUAAAAAUUAUAUCAAUUUAAGUCAUAAACUUUUCUAGAUUGUCGUUAUCAAAUUAAACGCUACUAAUCAUUGCUUAUUAUUUAGUUUAUUUAAUGAAUUAUUUAUGAUAUAACAAAUUUUUUAAUUCACACUAUGUAAACGUUCAAAUCUUUGGAUGCAUAGAAAUAUCAUGCUUUAAUCUUUGUAAUUAAUAAUAAAUUUAGGAAGGGUGCAUUUUUGUUAGUUCUCAUGUCUCUCUAAUUAACUUAAACUACAUUUAAGUUAAAGUUUAAGAAUGAAGCAUUUGACUACAACUCAUAAUAUAUAUAUAUAUAUAAUAUAUAUAUAUAUAACAAUAAGUUACUUUAAGGUAAUGAAAAUUCAAAUUAUGAUGUGACAUCAUUUAUUUAUAUGCUUUUUUUUCUUAAAUAGAGUGAUUGUUGAAAUUCAAUGUCAUUCACUAAUUUUUCUUAGACCUAAUGAAUGAUGGGGCAGCUAGUUGGUGGAUUAUUAUUAUUAGACGAAGAAUGAGUGGAAAAUAAAAUACCUAAAUUCAGCACCAAUUUCUUUCAAAUUUUGUAGGCCAAUAAAGCACUUCCUAUAUAACUAAUUCUAUAUCUAAUUAAUUAAUUUUCAAAAAAGAAAAAGUUUUUCUAAUUCUAUUGUUUUAUUAAUUAAAUUAAUAGGAUUUCGAUUAAUUUUGACCCUUAUUCUUUUAGAACGAAGAGCAAUUUGAAAAAGUAGAUUAACUAAACGAACAUGGGCUAAAAGAAGAAUGACAAAAUCACACGUUUUGAAAGUCUAUGAACGAACAUCAUAUUUUAAGGCUACGAUACCUAAUUUUGCAACCUCCAAAUCAAUGCAAACCGAAUGAGUGUGAAGUUAGAUAUUCAUUGACUUAAAAAACAAGUUUGUUUUAAUUGAUUUAAAUUCUAUUUUGAGUACAAUAAUUGAGAAUAAGAAGUAGAGACGGUGGUCAUACCAAUACCAAUACCAAUACCACUCAUACUCAUUAGGUUUUAAUAGAGUUAAAUUCAAACUAACUAUAUAAACAAGUUCAUUUUAACUGCGUUAAAUUCAAACUAUAUACACAAUCAAUCAAGGACAUGUUUGAGAGAUUUUUCGAGAUUGUUAAACUAGUUUUUUUUUUUUUGACAUAUUGAAAACUACUUCAAAAUAUGUCUUUAGUGAUUAAAAAACAACUUAAUAUUCGACUAAUGAAAAUCAAUUCUGAAGGGUAUAAAAUGAGACGUUCUCAAGUAAUUUUAACAAUUACAUAAUCACUCCAAAACAUACCAUAAAUAAAUCACGACCCCCAACGUAGUUAGAUGUAUAAUCAAAAUAUAUUUCCCAGUCUCCUAACCAUAAGCAUGCAUGACAGCAACAUUUUGACAAAUACCUCAGACAACUUAUCCAAUGUAAUUGAUUCACCUUUCACAUUAAACCUUGUGCUUCUAUACAUUAAAGUUUCCAACCAUACAACCACUUAUGGUUGGGAAUACAAAUAAACAACUAUAUAAAGUCCAACAUGCUCACUUUUCUUUCACAAUUAAAACAAGUGUGAUCAAACAAGGAAAGAAGCUCUAAACUCAUAAAAAAAAAAUGUCUCUAAUCACAGAAGAUAUCAAAGCCAAAGCUGAUGAGCUCUACUAUGGAGAUGAGAUGUGCCAAAUCAAAUCAAGGGAGCUGCUCAAAGAAAUGGAUCUUCCAAAUGGGCUGUUGCCAAUGAAAGAUAUGGAGGAAUGUGGGAUUGUGAAAGAGACGGGGUUUGUUUGGCUGAAGCAGAAGAAAAGCUACACUCAUAAGUUUAAAGACAUUGAUAGGUUGGUUACUUAUGGCACCGAAGUUACAGCCUAUGUGGAGAAAAACAAGGUUAAGAAGCUUACUGGAGUUAAGGCUAAGGAGCUCAUGAUUUGGCUCCCACUCUGUGACAUCUAUGUUAAUCAACCACCGAACGGGAAAAUCACGUUCAAGUCUACGACUGGACUGUCAAGAACUUUCCCCGUGUCAGCCUUUCAGGUUGAAGAAGAAGUCAAGGUUGUGGAAGAGAAGGAGAACAAAGAGAGGGAGAACAAAGAGAAGGAGAAAAAAGAGAAGGAAAACAAAGAGAAGGAAGUAGUGAACGGAGCAGUUGCAGCUGCAGCUAUUGAGGUGAAGGAGGUUUGAGUUUAUUUCUUUGAAGUUACAAGGGGCUCUCUCUUCCUCUUUAUUACUGGUUUGUUGUUGGCUCAAAUAUGUUAGCUAUAUGUUCUUUUUUUUCUUUUUUUUAUGUUGACAGUUUAUUUUAUUGAAUAAACAUUGGUAUGAAGUUUACUUACUGUAAUCGUGUUAAACAAAGCUUUAAAUGGCUUUUCUGGGCGGGGGAGGGAGAUGGAUGACUUUUAGCGAAUGGAAAUGUAUUAUUGUCAAAUAAUUUACACAUAAGAUGUUCAAGGAGAGCCCACAGAUCAAUAUUCAGGCUCUCUCUCAGUUCUAAAAAAAUCUAUUGCCAAUCAACUAUAAUUAAUUGGCUGACAGUAUCAGCAUAUUUGUCUCUUGCUUGCAAAACAAACAGAGAUUCUGCUAUCCUCUAGAACUAUGAACUAACUCUUUAAUUUAAUUGCUAUAACCUAUUGACUUAUAGCUGUACAGUAAAGUGCAAAGGUAUUCUCAUUCCUCAAGAAUGGAGUUACCUUAAACAAGGAUCUGUGAGCGAGCAGCACCGCGAGAGCAUUUCUUCCUGCCCGUCUUGCUAAGUGCACAAACACAUAUCUCAAGUAGCUCAUAAUCCUCUUCCCAGAAUAAGGAUGAUGCAAGCUCUGGAUUCUCAACCAGCAUUUUUGAUGUCAGGAACCCAGCAAUUGUCCAGGUUUGAUAGAGUCGGGAUUGCUUUCCAAUGAACUUUCCAGUACGAGUGUCGUAAUACUCGGGCCAGCGAUCAUUUGAAAUCCUCUUCUCAGCCACAGCAACUGCUUUCUUGGCCAUUUCAAAUCUGCCCAUCUUGAUGCAUGCCAAAGUGAACUGCAAAAUAUUUGACUUAAAAUUGUUAUAUAUGAAACUAUUAGACCGGUCCCCACUAGUGGACUACAAGGCAAUUACUUAAUUCAAUAAACAAAAAAAGGAGCGAUUCCGAAACGUCUAUUCACGAAAAGCAAUGAGUGAAGGACCAAUCUCACUGCUAUCAUCAUUUUUAUGUUACCUGCCAAAGAAGUGUUGGCCAGGAUCCACCGUUAUGAUAUGACCAUGGACUGAAAAGAGUCAAAAAGAUAAAUGGAAAUGAGCAUCAACAAAUCACAGGAACAAUUUUCUUUAUAGGAAUAAAGUAGAUCUAGAUACUCUACGGAGAAGGAUAAUGCAAGGCAGAGAAUUAGAACAUAAUACAUAUUACAUAUAAUGGAUAAAACUCACGUAUUUUUGGGGUCGCUGCCAGUGAUUAUGCGCCAUUCCUCAUACUCCAGAGCAGGGUAACAUAUCUUAAGAGGCAUAUGACCCACAAGAUCACCCCAUUUAGCUUCAAUAAGAUUUAGAAUAGCUUCAUUUUGCUUUGGUGUACCCAAAGAUGAAACAAUAGACCAAAGAUUUCCAAGUGUGAAAAACCUAAAAUCCAUAUGAGCUGGUUGGAGAUUGCCUAUCAAAUAACCUCCUUCCUCUGGUACCCAGUCCAUUAGCCACUGAGGGAUUUGGUCAGGAUAGAUGUUGAAUUUGUUUGUAGCAUCCAUGGAGUAUUCUUCUGUCUUAUAGCGAUAAAUCUCAUUAAUCUUCUUCAUAUCAACCCAGUAAUAUUCUCUGAUGUGGAACGAUAGUGCACUGAGUCGAUUGUUAAUGGCCCUCACUAAGUUCUUGGAUCCAUCAUUCACAGUGAGCAUUUCACGAGAGCAUCUUAAAGCUGAAUAAAAUAAGGCCUGCAUAAUCGAACUUGUUAUGAUGGAUGCACAUGACAAAACUUAAAUGAAAAAAGGCAAAAUGUCCACACAUGGUUAAUAUGAAACUGGAAUAAUAGGGAUAGGAUAAAAGAAGAGUUUCAUCUGAUGGAUUGGAUGCUUUAAGAAGCAAUAAGCAUGCAAUGUAAUGCAACAGAAGCAGCAUCAAGAACUGAAGGUGAAUCCAGGGUGAAAUUCAAAUUCUUUUAGGCAAUAAGUUAAAUGAAGCGUGCAGUUUGUCUAAGUACCAUUGAAACUCACUUGGAUCUCAAGGGGAUGACCAUGAAUACCCAUUCGACGAUCAAUCAUGCAGGAGCCAUCAGUAACCAACAGGGAAGGAAACAUAUCAAACCCAUCUGUUAGACAGAGGUUAAGUAUCAUUUUCAACCCUGUUUGGACAUCCACCCGAUCUUGUAGAGCAUAAUCCCCAGUAAUUUUUCCAUAAGCCCUUAGAAGAAUGAUCCACCACAAUCCUAUCAAAGAAGAGAGGAAAAAAAAUUAAUUUCAAAUGUUUCUAUUUAGAGUAGUUUCUAAAAAGGAGAAAAAAUUGGCUUCAUGAAUCAGAAAAAUAGUUCUCCUAAUCGAUACUUGACUCAAAUAGGUUAUACCUCAAAACAUCGUCAGAAGGAGUUAUAAGCUAAAUUAAAAUGAAUUGAAGUGUAACCCUGACUGCUGAUGACAAACAGACAAGAACAAAGUAAUCGUAGUAACCUGAAUCUACUGGUGCCACACGGCCAAUAGCUGAUUCUCCAAAGUCAGGAUCUAAGACUUCCUCAAAGUUAUUGCCGUCAAGGGGAACAGUUCUGACUUUAAAGCUUGCUGGCAUCAAGCCCUGUCCUGGGCUAUAACAAUCAACUGUUUUCUCCCAGCUCUGAAAAAAUAAGUGUCUUUUCUAAGCUUCAUACAAUACAAAGUAGCAAUAUAGGAAUCUCUUUUGAAUCAAUCUAACUCCAGAUACAAAAUUUGUUAUGAAACAGUAACACUUUGUGUCAAUUGAACAAUCAUAAGCAAUAAACAAAAGAUCGUCGACUGACAAGAAAAAUUUCUCAAACUAAAAUUACACACUCAAGCCAGAACAAUACCUCUGAGAUAGAAAUGAUAUCUCACAUGCAAGUACAUCCUUAAAUUUAAAAUUUAAGUUAUAUCCUUUGUGCCCGAGGACUCGAUACACAUUUUAUAAUUCUUCUAUGCAGCUGCAGAACACUUGGCUAAAACCAUGAAUGCUACUAAUAUUUUGGUUGAAAAUGUUGGUUAAAUGGUCAAUGGAAUCCCAUAUCAUAAAUACCCACAUAGAGUGAGUGAGAUCGAAUAAUUUACUAAAAAUGAUCAAAAUUUAACACAUUUAUGUAAGAACUAGCAGUUGUAGGGUAUGGAGAAGAAAUUUUCCUAAUCAUUAAGAAGUUGGAAGAUUCUAAAAAGUAGGGAGAUUCUAAAAACGUUACAUAAACAUUAAGAACAACCAAAUCAGACAAAUAAGUAAAAGAGAUAAAUAACAAAAGCCAUGAAGAGCAAGGAAAAAGGUACCUGCAACUGUAAGGUAUGAAGGAGAAAGUUCCUCACAAUCUCCCCCUCGCCGUUCAGCAGGAACGCAAGGGCAGAAGGAAUGAAAUCUCGAAUAAAGACCUGGUCAUAAUUCAAUGGUUGCUUAUCAGCCGGAUCAUUUGCAGCCAUAGUCCCAACCGGACUUCCACAAUAUGUCACAACAGCUUCACGCAACAAUCUCCAGGCCUCUUUCUCAAUAUCAGACUCCUCUCUCUUGGAAGUAAUAACCUUAGCUUUGUUCAAAUCCUCUAAGUUUUCGCCAUUUACAUGUUCACUACCAACUUCUAUUCUAGAAUCUUCUUCUCCUACAAUAUUCUCAUCCUUGUCAAUCUUUUCAACAACCAAAGGCUUCGCAUUCAAACCACCUUGAACGUAUAUCCUCUCGAAGUUGUUAUCAUUCACACGGGUUUCAAUCGACGUCGAAAAAUCACGAACUUUUGAGGCAAUUCUAGCAAUUAUAGACACACCGCUUUUGGUUUCAGGGAAAAUACUAUAACUACAAGGCCUUGUUAUUACCCUGGAUUGGCCAUAAGUCAAUCUAGCCAUAGAACAAUUCUGGGUCCCUUUCAAAAACCGUUGAGACCUCGAGAAAUGAAAAGGGUGAGAAGUAUAACGACCAUUAGAAUGAAAUUUGAAGCUAAAGUUCAAACAAGAAUUAUGGGGCGAAGUAUAUGAGGAUUUUACAGGUGAGAACCCAAAAAACCCUGAAUUCCUACAACUAAUUAGAAGCCUACAAGAAGCCUUCAUCGUCGAAUUAUCAAGCAAAGCAAUCAUAUUCAAAACAAUGAAUCAGAACAAAAAGAAACCAGAGAAAAUCAAAUCAGUGAAAAGUGGAUAAGAUUCAAGAAUUUUACGUGUAACAGUCGUGCGGCGAAUUACAGAGAAAUUUUUUAAAGGGAAACUUGAGAUUGAUUGAUUGAUUGAAGAAGAAUGGUAUCUGAAAUUGAAGAAGCAAAUGAUUGGUAUGGGAAAAACGUUAACUGGGUUUCAUUUUAUAGAUGCAAUUAACGAGAAAAAGGUAGGUAAAGUUGUCUAAUUGGUGGAUUAAGUGGUGGGUUUUUUUCCUCUCAAAUUAGAAAAGUUUUCAAGUUUAAUUUUGAGAUUUUAAACAAAUCUAUAAUCCUUCUUUUAAGGGAAUUGUUGGAUUCUUCUCAAGUGGAAAUGAAUAACUCAAGUUUUUGCCUUUAGAUUUUCCGCCUCCUUUAGUUCUCUCUCUUAUUUGGGCCAAUAUUUAGCAAAAUUGCCUUUAAAAGGCAAAAGUAUUUAUGGAACUUUACAUUUAUAUUUUACUUAUCCAUUUUAACAUUAAAUACCUAAAAUAUUUUAGAUCUGUAAUUAUUUUAAAUAGUAAGAUAUCUUGAUAUCUAAAUAUUAUAUUCUCGAGCAUCUUAGAACGUCCGAAAUAGAGGACAUCUUAAAAGUUUUUGAUGCCCUCUUGAAACACGGCCACACACACGUACUAAGACGUUGAUAAUUUUUCUACAUCAAAAGUGAUAAUCUAGAGAUGUCAAACACCCAUAGGAACCAACAAUGGUAAAUUUUACAUGUGGCACCCUCUUUAUGUGUGGAUUUUCUAUUGCAACAAAUUAGAUAUUUUUAUGAACUAGAACAUUACUUGUUAUGUAAACGUGUAUUUUAAUAUAAUAUAUGAGGUUCAUAUAUUUAAGUAAAUUGUGCAGAAGAGCAAUGUUGAGAAUAAGUGGAUAUUAUUCUUUGGAUUUUUCCUAAAAAUUGCUACUGCUUUCCAUUCCAAUAAGGAUACGAGAGGACUGAAUUUGGAUGUCCAUUUUUAAUAGCUUUUCAAUUUAAAGUAUUCCUACAAUACUCAGCUUUACAUGUUCUCGUUCUAUAGCUAUUUUCCUUCCAUUUUUGUUGGAUGAUCUUGUUGUUUACGUUGCUGUCAUGAGAAAAAAAAAUCAUUUUAGUGACAUAUAUUCGGUACCAGGUUUGGAUUCUGAAAAAAAAAAAGAGAACUCAUCUUAAUCUUUUCUAGAGCACGAUGGUUUUGUUAAAGUUCUCAACCAUUUCUUGAAUUUUUUUUUUUUUGAGAUUAAUGUUAUAUUGUUUUUCUGAAUAUACUCAUGUUGAGAUGGUUCCAUGCUGAUAACUUAGCCAUGUGUGAAUGAAGCCUUGGGAUUGCAAGUUGUUCAGUUUGCUUGUUUUCAGGUAUGGUGUGGAUUUACAUCAAUCCUUUAAGCAAUAAUACAUUUUGCUCUCCCUUCAUUUUCAUUUCUUGUUAUGCAAAUCAAGCACCCUCUAGAAUCAAUCUCAACAACUAAAGCAUAUCAUAGAGAGGAGAUAAAUUUUGAUAUUACUUCACAGAGAGCCGAAUCUAAAUCCCCGAAAAGGCUCCCUCUGUGUCUAUAUAUUCUUCGAUUCUAUUUAGAUUCCAAACCAUAGAUAUUAAGGAGGUGUUUGUUGGACUAUAAUGAAAUAGGAAUGUAAUCUAAUGAAAUCAAAACUCAUAUUUGGAUUCAUUCUCAUUGUUUUUAAUCCAAACCUUGUUUUCAAAAGUUUUCACACUUCACAUAUUCGUUCCUCGUGCAUUCCAACAUCUUUCUGAUUUCAAGUAAUCUACUUCAUCACAUUCUAGCUCUUUAAACAGCUCCUAAAAAGGUACUUCAUCUUCAAGAAAGACUAGUCUCUACUAGAAAAUCUAGUAAAAUCCCAGACACACUCUUAACCAACAUACACACUUGGAAAAAGGCGAACUGAUCAUAAUCUAUUAAUCCUUGUCCGAUCUAGCGAAGCUAGGAACUGAACUUCACUACACUGAGAGAGGGGGAGACAUUGCAUUUGAUGGUCCAAAUCAAUCCAUUUUGUACCCAAUAAUUUCCCUUAGAGAUGUUGGAUUUGGGGAUAGAAAGUAUGUGGAGAAGCUAGAACGACAGACGAUGGCAUGUUUGUAUGGAGUGAAAGCUAGAGCUGGGGAGAAAGGGGAAACGGGAGUUUGGGUUGGAGAUAGGAAAAUUGGAGCCAUUGGAGUUAGAAUUUCAAAUGGGGUUACUUCUCAUGGUUUAGCUUUUAAUGUGGAUCCUGAUUUGAUGUCUUUUAAUUAAGCAUAUUGUGCCCUUGUGGGAUUGUUGAUAUAAAGAUGUAACAUAGUUGAGAAAAGAGACUAAGGAAGUGCUUCCUAGUGAAGAAGUUUUGGAAGAACAGUUGAUUUCUUGUUUUGUUAAGUUAUUUGGUUAUUGUAAAACUGAGGUGGAGAAGAUUCCUUUAACUGAAUUAGAUUUUAGUUGUUAUAAACCAAUUAUACUUUUGUUAAGUUUUGUUAAUCCCUCCUACUCACUCCCAUUAUAAACUCAAGUUUUCUCCUAAAACUGAUUCUCAAUCUAUUGUUACUGCUGCAACAUCUGAUAUAACUGCACCCCUAAUCAUGUGAGUGACCAUUAAAUCAAACUCUCCCUCCACACUUGCUAAUUACAUAUUCCAUUACAUACCCAUAAAAGAAAUUUUUUUAAUUCUUAUAGUGAAUACCAACUAAUUAGGAAGGUAUUUAAGAAAAAUGGAAGGAAAUAGAUGGACAGAAAUGGAAGUAUUGUUGAGAAUGAAUUAAUUACAAUGGAUAUGAUCCAAUCCAAUUAAUAUUUAUACCAGUCAUUUUUUUAAUUGUCUUGUGUUUGUGAUAUAAAAGAUGAUAUUGGAUAUAAAUAUAUAUUUUAGUUCAGAUUUCUUUCUUUUAAUAUAAAUAAACUCAAGUUAGGAAUAUGUCAAUUCAAACAUAUAUAGGUGAAAGUGGACAAAUAAUUAAUUAUCAUUUCAAAUGUUUAUAGUUUUAUUUGAAGAAUCCAAAAAUAGAAGAUGUUUGAAAAAAUUUGAAGAAAAUAAAUGAAAAAAUUAAAAGUGAGGGUUUAAUUGAAAAACAUGAAGCAAUCAAAUAACAAAGAUGUCCUAUAAAUUCAACACUCUCUUUUCUUUCACUUUGCCAGAAUUCAAAUAUGACUUCUUCAACAUAUUUUUUGUCAUCUCAAUUGUGGCUUACCUUGUUCAUCGUUUUGAUCGCCGUUUUUCAGUUGGCUAUAGCAGCUGAUAGUGGAACUGAAGAUAAAAUCAAGAGAAUAUGUCGUCAGAUGGAAGAGUUUGAGUUUUGCAGCCAAACCUUCCAUCAGAAUUUGAAAGGUGGUUCAGCAGACUAUAUAGGACUAACUGAAAUAGCAAACAAUCAAGUGUAUACGAAGGCAUCCAGUACACUUGUUUACAUUGAACAACUUUUGAGAAGCGUAAGUGAUCCAACAACAAGGAAGGCGUUACUAGUGUGUGAAAAUGGAUAUUAUGCAGUAAAUGAAGCAUUUGUAGAAGGGAUCCGGUGGUUCUCACAAAAAUAUUACAAGGAAAUGUUGAAUGUUGAGAGGAGAGCACCAAGCGCACAAGCAAGUUGUACUUCGAUAUUCACCACUACACCACCACCCAAACAAAACCCACUUUUUCAAAUUAAUAGAGAGAUGAGAAUUCUCAUUGCUAUGGCUAUAGUAUCUGGCUCUAGCAUUAGUUAAUUUUAAAUUCAUAUCAAUUUAUUAAUUUGGCAAAAUACUAUUUUUUGUCUCUAUACUUUGAUAUUGUUCAAGUGUUAUCAAUAUUUCUCUACUCAACUAUUUUAGGUUGAUUUAGUGCUAACAAAACAGUCAUGUGAGCUUGCUAAAAGGGUUUUGAGUGAAUGAGUUUACCAAAUUUAUUGAUUGUCUCCUUGAUUUGAUAUUAAGGGAUUUAUAUCUAAAAAUCAAAUUUUAAUGAAAGGAGUAGUUUGUCUAUCUUAUAUAAGAAGUUUGUAAGGAAAUCGGUACAUGUUAAUUAAAGAAAAGAAAAAGUAAAAAACUCUUAGUCUCUUCUUCUUUCCUUGUGUGAACCACCAGCUCUCCCAGCUUUGGUUCUCUUUCUCUCUUCUCUCUGUCAUCCGCACACUCAAUGAUCAUUAGCUCAAGGUUGGGAUAUUACAUAAAUGUACCAUAACCAAAAUGAACUAAUUAAAGCAACGAAACAAGAUAUAAAAAAAUUUCUCUAGGCCAGAACUUGAUUGUGAGGGGCAUCCUUAGAACAUUAUCUUGUAGGACAAGAUUAUGAAUAUCAUGACCACCAACAUUUUCAUGGAAUCACACUUAAAAUAUAGAUGAGUUAGUGACUAACUAACAAGUUUAUAGUUCCAAUCUUUAUUAAAUACUUCGAAAUUCGAAAAUCUAACUGAGUACUUUGAUCACUUCUUUGGAAAAUAUAUGGAAAAAGAACCAAGUCUAUUGAAAGUUGGAUAUAUUCUGGUAUAUAUCUCUGUUUUGCAGCAAACAAAUAUUGGAUAAUCAACAACCCUAUACUUUCAAAAGAUUUUCCAUUUAAUGUGAUGAAAUGAAUUUUUUUAGACAUAAAACCAAUAUAGAAAUUAAAUGAGGAUUUGGAAUUAUGACAUUGCAUGGUAAAGGUUAUAUUGAUGUACUUUACCUAGAAUUUGAGUUAAUAUAAUUUAGAGAAAAACUUGUAAGAGUUAAACUUAAUUUACUAGCAAAUGCUUACUUAGCUCAACGCGAUAAUCACUUUCGAUCGUUGUGCUAUAAAAUCUUACAUUUAAUUGAUAAAAUCAAGUAUCUAUAUCUUAACUCCCACGACCAUACAUACAUAUGUAUAAUUGCUUUUACAACCCUAACUUGAUCAUAAGUUUACAAUUAGGAAGGUGUUUAAGAAAAAUGGAAUUAAGGAAAUGGAUGGACAGAAGUGGAAGUGUUGUUGAAUAAAAUGAAUUGAUUACCAUUACUAGACAUGAUCCAAUCCAAUACUAUAAUCAUUUUAAUUUAUUUUUUUUGUUCAAGAUCCAUUGUUUUGUGGUUAAUCAUAUAAAAAGUGAUAUUCAAUAUAAAUAUUUUACUUGAGAUUUCUUUUUUUUGUUUUUAAUAUAAAUGAAUCCAAUUUAGGAAUGUGUCAAUUCAAACAUACAUAUAUACUAAAGUAGACAAGUGAUUGAUUACCAUUAAAGAAUCCAAAAUUAGAAGAUGUUUGAAAAGAAUGGAUGAAAAUAAAUGGAAAAAAAUGAGGGUGUCAUUGAAAAACACGAGUCAAUUUACAAAGAGAUCCUAUAAAUUCAACACUCUUUUUCCUUUCACUUUGCCCAAAUUCAAAUAUGACUUUAUCAACAUGUUUUUUGUCUUCUCAAUUGUGGGUUACCUUGUUCAUCGUUCUGGUCACCGUUUUUCAGUCGACUAUGGCAGCUGAUAGUGGAACUGAAGAUAAAAUCAAUAGAAUAUGUCGUCAGGUGGAAGAAUUUGAGUUUUGCAGCCAAACCUUCCAUCAGAAUUUGAAAAGUGGUUCAGCAGACUAUAUUGGACUAACUGAAAUAGCAAACAAUCAAGUGUACACGAAGGCAUCUAGUACACUUGUUUACAUUGAACAACUUUUGAGAAGCGUAAGUGAUCCAACAACAAAGAAAGCGUUACUAGUGUGUGAAAAUGGAUAUUAUGCAGUAAAUGAAGCGUUUGUAGAAGGGAUCCGAUGGUUCUCACAAAAAUAUUACAAGGAAAUGUUGAAUGUUGAGAGGAAAGCACCAAGCGCACAAGCAAGUUGUACUUCGAUAUUCAGCACUACACCACCACCCAAACAAAACCCACUUUUUCAAAUUAAUAGGGAUAUGAGAAUUCUCAUUGCUAUGGCUAUAGCAUCUGGCUCUAGCAUUAGUUGAUUUUAAAUUCAUAAAAGCUUGUGUGUUGUUUUAUGAUGUAAUAAUCCAUUUGAUGAUCAUUUGGGGAGCACACUUUAACACAGAUCUUCAAUUGAUUUUUCAAAAAUUAAAAUGGAGUUUAUAUUAUUCAAUUUUUAUCAUUGUUAUUUCUCUACUUAACUAUUUUAGGCUGAGGUAGUGCUUAAAAAAUAGUCACCACUCUACUAAAUAGUUUUGAGCGAAUUUGGUCAAAUAUACUAAUACAUAUCAAUUUAUUACGUUGAAUUAUGUUUACUUUGGUAAAAUACUAUCUUUUUCUCUAUACUUUGAAUUUUAAUUCACUUCGAUCCAUGCAUUGUUAACUUUGAUUCGUGCACAUUCAAUUUUUGCAUCAAUUUGCUCAUUGUGCUUCAGAAUGUUUGUUUUGGUCUAUAUACUUUAAAAGUAAUCAUUUUGAUCACUUUAUACCCAAUUAAAACUCCUUGAUACAAAUAUUUAUGACUAUAUUUUAAGAAAUUUAGAAUGGGUAAUUACACUAGAUAACAAUUUUUAGAAUAAUUAUUAAGUAUGUAGCAAUUUUGUUAUAUACUUAAUUAUUUUGGUUAUAAUUGCUAUAUUUGCAACUUUUGAAUUGUAAUAAACUCUAGGAGAUGGAUCUAUAUUAUAUUACAAUUGUAAAUCAAAUCCAAUUUUUGAAUCUAACGGUUAUAUUUGUAACUAUUUUUCCUAAAUCUCUCCCUACCUCAAAUUAGAAACCAAAGCAACUCUAAACGUUAUAUAUACUUGGUCGUUUUAAGUACAAAAGCUCAAUGUUGUUUUAAACUUUUUCUAAGAAACUAAAAUGGACACUUUCGAGUUUUAAGAACGAAAUGCUUUAUUACUAUUUUAACUAGAAUAUAAGAGUAGUCAUUCAUGGGGAUUGUUGGAAAUGACUAUCAAUGUAUUAGUUAUAAUUGAAAAUUAAUUAUAAUUAUUAUUAUUAUUUUGUUGUUCUAAAAUCAAUAUACUUUAUAUAUAUAUAUAUAUAUAUAUAUAUUAGGGUAUUUUGAUGUCGUAGAGCUCUCUCUUCUUCAAAGGAAAAACCUAGGUUUCUUUCUCUCGGAGCAAAAAAAUUUCUUCUGAUUCUAUUUUGACUCCCACAAGUGCACACAUGAGUAGAAAGUUGUGUUAACCUUGAAGAACAAUCGACAUAUGCAAUUUCGCACUGAGGUUGCGCUGAAUUUUGGUUUCAAGACAGUGGUUCGACACGACACAACAAUGAUCAAUUUUGUUUUUCAACACUUAAAGUAGUUUUUGUAUGUUCAUUUCUUAGCUAUGGAAUUCUUAACAAAGAAUUCAAAAACAGAAGUUAAAAAGUUAAAGCAAAAACACAUUUGGCCAAACCAAAACAGACAAGUAUAAAUUAGCCAAAGAAGAAAAACUAUAUUGUUUUAUUAAAGAGGAUCUCAAACCUCUAACCUUUAAAAGAAGUUUUCACAGUCAACAAAUUGAAUUGGGUUAGUAGGAAAUGUAAAAUGUGAAUAAGUAGAAAAAGUUCUUUGAACUCAAUGACACAAUUGUACAACCUAAAGAACAGACUUGUCGAAGUAAGGUCGUAAAGCAGGUAAGACUCUAGUCUAGUCAUAUCUAAAAUGAAGGAGGUAUACAGCUUUCCCAUUGUUGUUUCUCAAGAGUUUAACUUGCAUGUAUCCCAUGUGGCUAUUUUUCCAAGAAGGAUCCUUAACUUUUUCCCUGUAAUGUACUUGAAGGAAAGAAAGUGGCAUCCCACAAAGCACAAUCAGUUACUUUUUCUCCCAAACUUAUUAUUUAAACAGCUUUUUCUAAGUUUCCAAAGAAAGCCACUGCUCAUACAAUCUGUUCUUUUAAGAAACCAACAAUGAAUUGCUGUCUAAAUCUUACCUCUUUCAUCCCAGCUCUUCUUUUGGCAGCUUUUUCCCUAACCGUUUUCCCUUCUCAUGGAAUCCCCCAUGAAAAUCUGGUCACCAUUUGCUCUAAAACCUCCAAUCCGUCGCUCUGUGAGAAAAUCCUUAAUAAUGAUUCCCGUACCGUCUCGGCCAACCUCCCUAAGCUCUCACUUAUAUGCAGCAAUCUGGCCAAGAAACAAGCAGAUCAAAACCUUGAUACCUUCUACAAACUAAGUAAGAAUGAGAGUGAUCCCGAGGAGAAGAAAAGUUUUGAGCAUUGUGUGAAGUAUUACCAUGAAAUUCAAUCAAAUAUCCAAAAAGCUUAUCAGUUCUCACAGCAGAAGAUCUUCAGAGAGAAUGGUCCAUUGGUGGCAUCAAAGAGACUUGUUCUAAAGUGUAGUCAAGCCAUUAGAAUCAAUUCAUUGUAUAUUGAAGUCAUGAACAAACUUAUGAUCCUAUGUUGUGAUAUUUCAAUAAGCGUAAAUCAAUGUGCUGCUGCUAAUGGUCACCAUUCAGUAAAUGUUUGAUAAAAGCAAUAAGUAAUGAAACAAUGAACAUUACUUAUUGUUCUUAUUGUUUUGUUUGAGUUUGUCUGUUGAAUAUGAACUAAAUAAGUUUGUUAGUUGAAUUUUUCUUCUACGUAAUGUUUUGAUUUAUCCCUAGACUAAGAAAAGUAAAUGAUGAAAGAGAUAAAUUGAAAAAUUUUGUAAUUAUAUGGAAAAGAAAUGUGAAUCGUGGAAGUUUUAGAAAAAGAGUAUAACAUGCAAGGAAGAAAUUUGAAUUCUUGAAUGUACCACUAUAGCAUGCAAGAUCAGAUUUGUUUCUCUCAACUUGUAAUUUCCAAAACGAUAUGCAAAAAGAUCUACUAUAGCUAAGUAUAAACCAACAAACAAUUAAUAUAUAUCUUCCUUUUUACUUUAAUUUGAGUUAUUUGAACUGAAAUCACCAACCAGAAAAUCAAGAGAAAAUGUAUAAGAAUGCAUGCCAAGAUUGUGCAUAAAAUAGCAGCACAAUAGCAGCACAAAGUAUCCUAUAAAAGCUACUCUCACCUUAUUCUGCUUUUGUCAGAAUUCCAAACAUUAGCACCCAAGUAAGAAUCGCUUUCUCAUAUUCUUCAUAACUGCUAACCUUCUUCCUCACUCUCUUCAUUGUUCAUCCAGCUUUGGGUGACCCGGCAACACAGCAGCAGAUAAAUCGAAUAUGCCAUCAAAAUGAGGAUUAUGGGUUUUGCAAUAAAACCUUCAAUGAAAAUCUGAAAGGUCCAGCAGAUGAUGUUGGUUUGGUCUUGAUAGCAAAUAACCAAGUGCUGAGAAACACUUCCAGGACCUCAGUUCAUUGUUGAACUUCAGGCCAGCACUGAUGAUACAGUAACGAAAGCUGCUCUCAAGACUUGCAGAAUCGGUUGAAGCCAGGUCAGGCAGGCAUUGGUGCAGGCAAUUUCUUACUUCAAUCAGAAAGACUAUGCCAAUAUGGUCGAGGCUGAAUGAGCAGCACCAAGAGAAGAGGCUUCCUGUAGACCACCAACACCAGAUAGCCCAUUGGUCGAGAGGAAGAGGGACUUGAGAAUCCUCAUUGCAAUGGAUGCGGUCGCAGGUCAUGUUCUUGCCACUUGAUCUAUUCGCUCAUCCCUGCCAGACUUAAGUGCACACAGCCUCAUUACACAACUAUGUUAUAGUGUAAUGUACGUAGAUAAGAAUAUAUUUGUAUGGUAGUAUUAAAGCGGUAUAGGGGUAAUUUGGUAGGAAGUUAGUUACGGAGUCUUGUUAUAAAGAUAGGAUGAGUGAGAAAAGGUAGACAACUUUUUAGUGAUCUAGAGCUUGAGUUGGUGUGCUCGAGGGUGGUUUAUCUUGUAUUUCUUCAUAGUUAUAUUUCAACGAUGAACAUCAUGAAGUUGAUGCUUUCAUUCAUCUAAAUUGGUCGAAGUAAAAUGUAAGUACUUUGGCUGCUUAAAUUAACCAUAUCCCAAAAGCUUAUAACAUUGCUCUGUCAUUUAACUGGAUCCACAUCUGUAUACAUGACAAAAAAUGGGCAUAAAACUAACCCCGACUUCCUGAUGAACAACACUGAAAAGAAACAUUCUAUUUCCACCAAAUCUCACAUGAAUCACUAGGAACGGAGUACAUUUAGCAUUAAGGAUGGUAAAUUAUCAAGUAUUCUGCACAAUGAUAUCAUGAGCCUUUCUUUCUUGAAUUUAAUACUGACAAAAUGAAGGAUAUCCUAAGCUCAUCGGCCAAGCAAAGCAACACGAUCUUUUUGCACUGCCUGCGCUAGGUUGAUGUCAAAGAGCUCGCACCGUAUAGGCAUCUCCAUCUCGUAGAAUGGAUUCUUCAAUACAAAAUCUGUGUAUAGUUCAUAAAUGUACUUCAGAAGACUCUCCAUGUGCUGAGUCCCAGGUUCACACACAACAAAAAACUUUGUCCCUGCAACAGACAAUUUCCAUCCAUGAUUCUGGUUCUUUAUAAAGUUAAUGCCGUGACACUUUGCAGAGAUAAAAAAAAUUUGAACAAGGAAAUAUAAAAUUAUACUUCGGAACAAGCAUUUCUAUUUCUUAUGUAGGUUGGUUGAUAAUGAAAAAUUUAUUAAUUCUUCACACCAAAAGCCAUUCAUAUCCAUAUCAAAACAAUCUUUAAAUCUCCUCCCCCUAUGCAAGUAGCAAAGUGUAAUGACAAAAGAUUAAACAUGAACAGUUACAGAGUCGAGAUUUCAAAAAACUAAUUUUGUGGUUUCUGUUGACCACAUGCUAAUUUUUUCCUCCAAAAGUUUGACAACACAAAAAUAUUUGCGAAGGAGACUACGGUAUAUUAGUAUGGCUAUUAAAAGCUACACUUUUCUAAUAAAGGAUUAAUGUCAUUUCUAACUAUCUGAGUACAACUCAACUAAUCAAGACAUAAUAAUCUCAACCAAAAUUUAUGUUUUAAUCCCCACUCUCAUACAUUCUUAUACUUGAAACAAUAAACUGAACAAAGAUCAAUUUCAAUAACCAAAAUUUAUAUUUGAAUCCCCACACUCAUAUCUAUGGAGACUAUAGCAUGGCUAUAAAGAAAAAGGCUACAUUUUUCAACUAGAGCAUCAAUAUCAUUUUUACAAUCAAGCAAAACUCAACCAAUCAGGCACAAUAAUUUCAACCAAAAGUUAUGUUUGAAUCCCCAUCCUCAUAAGUUCUCGAGCUCAACAAGAAACUUAACAAAGAUCAAUAACGUUUCUAGAACUUCAGCUGUGCUUUCCCACUCUGGGAUUCACUUAACUGCUUAUCUAUGGAAUCACAGAAUGUGAGGCAGAAACCAUGUGUUUGAGGCAAAAAAAGUAAACAAAAUACAGGAAGGAAAAACGUACCAGUGAGUGACUGGAAGCAAUGGAGAUCGAAAGUGUCAGCUUCAAGAAGUUCAACACCCGAACAACCAGCUAUAGGCGAAAGCUGCUGGGAAAUGGCAUGCAUAGAAUGCCACAAACUCGCCACUCUCAAACUGUCAUUCGUAUCCAUUCGUCCAGCAGACCCAUAAUCCUAAAUUUUAAAACAAACCCAAUAAGAGGUUCAAGCCAUACAGAAUACCCAGAACCGAAUUAUAUAUCUUUGUAAUAUGAGAUGAAAAAACUGAAAUCUGGGGUUCCCAGAAACGAAAUAAAGCUUAAAAAAUCUCAACCCAGGUGGAAAUGAAGGGAAAUUUGUGUUUCCAAUUGCGUGAACAAGUAGUUUGAAUAGGUUGAUUACCUUGUAGAAGAUCAAACCACCAGAUUUAUUGAUGAUGUAGAGGCUGUAAAUCGCUGCCAUCGUCUUUAGAUCUAUCCAAAAUUUGAAGAAUUAUGAAGGAAAUGAGAAUAAAAAUAAAUAUGGGUGUGGAUAGGGAUUAAGUGUGGGUAAGAACGUAGAUUGGAAGGCGCAAAAUCCAGUUCAGUGAACGCCGAUCUUAAGGCGGAGUUUCGGGGAGCUUGAGACUGGGGGGGAGUUGCCAGUGGCGGGGAUCAAAUGUAAUUACGACGACUUUCUUUUUUCUUUUUUCUUUUUUCUUUUUCAAUUUCUAUACUAAAAUAGGGGAAUUAAAAUACUUUUCAAAAAAUAUUAAAUUUAAUCUAGGUUGUUUUAUAAUAAAAAUUUAUUUUAUUAAUUGUUUACAUUUUUUCUCCAAAUUAUGAAACCUAAUGCUUUUUGUUUUACUGUUUGAAAAUAUUAUUGUUAUUUAACUUAAAUUGAAUAAAAAAAUUAUUUUAAAAGAUAGAAAUGUUUAAAAUAUUUAUAAAUAUAGCAAAUUUAAAAGAUUUUCUUUUUUUUUUUCCCAAAUAGUUAACGUAUGUUAUUGGACUCUCCAAGUAACUAAUGAUUUAACGUGGAUUUUUGUCUAUUAAAAAAUGUUAAUGAAUGAUUAAAGGUUGAUUUGAGAGAUGUAAGCAUAAAAAAAAAACUAGUUUAACAUAUACAAUGAAAUUUAGACCAAAUUAUAGGGAUUUAAUUGAAAGUUUAAUGCUAAGUUGAUGUCACCCUUCCUUGGGCGUUUCCAAUUUGUUGUUUAGAAAACUAAUUCAAUGGUCUUCCUUGAGUCAUUUAUGGUUGUAACAUGGCUGAGUAACGAUAGCUUCUUGGUUAACAGUAAACCAUUCCCCAUCGAUAUUAUUCCUCGUGGAAUUUACAAUAUACAUAUCUCACGAGUGUCCACAUCCGCUUAGACAUAACAAACCACUGUUCCAAAUUUGAUCAUUUCUUCAUCUAAGACUGGAAUGUUAUAGAACUUGCGAAAUAGCAAAGAAUUGAUAGCCAAUAAAUGGGAGUUCUUUAUCAUAUGAUCCUAAUUGACGUAUUUAAUGUCAAGAUUCAAGACAAACGAACAUUCAUUCAAAACCAAAACCGAUCUCUUGAAAUUUCUAAAAUUGUAAUUUUUCCACUUCACCCUCUUCUUUCUUCGUCUUUAUCGUGCCUUUCCCAAGUACUUAACUGCUUCCAUUUCUUCUGAAAUCAAGAGUGACAUCCCAACUCUAAGAAAGAAGCAAAUUACUAUUUUAUUCUGUCCUGAAUUGAGAAGGAUGUGUUAGGAAAGGUGUCCAUUCCAUCUCCCUCCUCGUUUGAUUGAUUAUCAUACGGCCACAAAUGUGCUUCAAAAUGGCUGAGUAUACCUGCAAACAAACACAUAUCCCUGGAUAGGCUACACAAGAGAGGAGUCUUCAUCCGAGCAACAUAAACUAGCACAAUCCAUGAACGACUAAGAUCAUGCUCAACGGUGAUCUUGGUAAAACCUAGAUUGAUAUUCCAGGAAUUAAAAUGGAAAUUUGGGAAACAAUGGGAUGCAGAGGGGGAAAAGCUCUACAAAUGACCAAUUCUCAACAAAUGAUAAUCUGCUAUUGAAUGUGCAAGUUUGUGAUCCAAUUUAAUUGUAAAAAAUGCCUGAAGUGAAAAGGCAUUCGUCUUAAACAGAGUACAAAACAAAUAAAAAGUGAACAAAGGAUCAAGGGCACAUCCAGAUAUAUCAACUAGAUGGAGUAAGGAGGCAAUAUGCAGCUUUUAAGGAGUGAACACCAAGGUUGUAUACAUGUAGCCACAUAUUGUUGAAAGCUUCCCCACAUAGAAAGUCUGGGAAAAACUGAAGGAUUACAAUAAAUGGCAUUCAUAUAGCUUAGGUUUUUGUUAUGUGCUGAUGGCUCAACAAUCGAAUCAGCACAAGACCGUCCAUAAGCACAGAGACUUCAAACAACAGAAAAAGCGUAUGAAUUCUAGAAUCUAGAGAAUCAACUAAAUCCAAGACAAAUCAACAAAAUCACAAAGAGCAAUGACAGCUACAUUACUACAAACAGCUUAGUUUCAGAUAUUUGCCAAUGCAACGGAAGCUAUCCCUAAAAUUCCACUAUGACAAACUUGAACAUCACGAUGCAUGAGAGCCAGUUAAUCAGCAGAGGACCAUACAAGCACAUUGCAACUGUCAUUCACAAAAAUAGAAACACGCAAGAGAUGUGUGAUAGAAAGACAUUGACAACCAAAGAAUUAUCAAAAGGCUUGAGAUGUGUAUUAAAAGAUAUAUGCCAUUGCACAGAUAGUUCACCUCACUUUAUACAGGGGAACUUGUAAAAGACAGUGGCAAGAGUGUAGCUUAGGUUUUUGUUAUGUACCGAUAGCGAGAAAUGAAUCGGCACAAGACCGUCCAUAAGCACAAACACAAAUAGCCAGAUGAUUAAAAAUUAGCACCAUGUUGUGAUUCAGACAUCUGCCAUAACAUGGAUAUAUUUUCCUUAAAAAACCUAAAGAAAAACUUGAAAGACAAAGAUGGCAAGAAUGUAGCCUAUGAAUAUGUUGUGUGCUGGUGAUGGUAAAUUAAUCAUCACAAGACCGCACAUAAGCACACUACCAAAUAGCAUAAAUAACCAAAAAGUUAAUUUCUGUACACAACAUUUCAUGCACUUUCUUGGUGCUAACUGCUAAGGACUUGGAAAGUUCAGAGACGUUUUUUAAAAAGAUAAUCGAAACUGAUGCAAACCGUAGAUCAAAAAGUUCUUUUGUAUAUCCGUGAAUCCUAGACAGGUGAUCACCGCAGAGUAAACACAUUCACCCGAAGUUCUUUGCAAACCAUAGGUUGAAAAAACCAAAUAACAUAAAAAUUCUUGGGGCUAGACAUUAGAUGGGUGAAGACCUCAAAAUUAGCUUUGAAACAUAAUGUAAUGAAUGUGGCCCAAGACCCAGUUAAAGGAAAAAUACACACAGCAAUGCAAAUAAAAUAAUUGUAUUGUUAAAUCAUGGAAUGGACAAAAAAACCACUCAGGGACUCAGGGUAUCUCAGAAGAGAAGAUCAAAUUUUCAAGUAAAGUGGAUUUUUUUACACAAAAAGUGCCAUUGAUAUAUGGAAGCUAGAAGAAUCACAAACCAACUACAAUCUCCCACAAUCAUCAUUGUAAUGAAUAACAAUAACAAAUUCUGAAAAUAAUAACGUCCACAAGUGAUAGGCAAAAUGAAGGAACAAAAUUUAAAGCUUUAAACAAACAAAUCAAAAUGUAAAUCGGAAGAAAAAGGGGUGCAGAUUGAGCUUGAAAUCAUGGAAUUGACAAAAACAGAGGCAAACCCAUCAGGAAUAUGGUGAUAAUUAAGAGGAAAAUGAUGCUGAAAACAAAACAAGUUGCAAGACGUGUUAAUAUGGGUUCGAAAAUGCAUAAAAUGGGGACUAAAAUCAAAGGGAGUCGCAAAGGAAUAUGAUCAUUCAGAGAAGAAACUAAGAAUCGGCGGGUUGGAAAUUGGGCAUUAUAUAUAAGAAGUGUUGCGGCGCUUAAGGUUUUAUUCUGGAGGGAGCUCGGUGAUUUCUAGGGUUAUCGGUUGCAGUUGGGUGGGGG
rnacentral:lncRNA from 1 species